rnacentral:lncRNA from 1 species
GAGGAGGGAAGAAGAAGAGGAGAAGAAGAAAAGAAAGGAAGAAGGGAAGGAGAGGAAGAAGAGAAGGGAAAGAAGGGGCUGCGGCUGCGGCGAUGGCAGCUACAGUUGGAAGAGAAGAAGGAGAGGAAGAUGAGCAGGGGAGGAAGAAGAGGUUGUGGUCGUGGCUGCGGCCGCGACUGCAGCAGUUGCAGCUGGGAAAAAAGAGAAGGAAAGGAAGGAGAAGAGAAAGGGAAGGAGAGGAAGAAGAGAGGAAGAGGAGAAGGGGUGGCAGCAGCAGCUGGAAGAGAAGGAGAGGAAGUAGAGCAGGAGAGGAAGAAGAGGCUGCGGUUGUGGUGGCUGCGGCCAUGGCUGCGACUGCGACUGCGACUGCGACUGCGACAGUUGCAGCUGGGAAAGAAAAGAAAGGAAAGGGGGAAAAAGGGGCUGCGGACGGGAUUGCGGCCGCAGCGGCAGCGACUGCGUAUGCAACAGUUAUGUCUGCGAGAGAAGAGAGGAAGGAAGGUAGUGCGGUGGAAGGGGCUGCGAUUGUGGCAGCGGCAGCGGCGGCGGCUGUGGCAGCUGCGUUUGGGAAAGAAAAAGAAGGAAUGAGAGUAAGAGAGAGCAGGUGACUGUGCCUCGAUGUUCGACACGUGGUGUAGUUGCGAAGAAAGGAAGAAAACGGGAACACAAAACGAAACAGAGAGAGGACACGGAGGAAAAGUAGAAGGAUUUGGGCUGGCACCUUCUUUGGAUCUUCAGAUCGAAAUCUUUGAAAGGCAAGUUUCCCGCUUGUUUCGAUCCUUUCUAUUGCAAAUGUUUCGAUCCUUUCUAUUGCAAGUUCCCUGAUCGUUUCUCCUAUAAUUGCUCUGAUAUGUCUUAUUGCAAGUAUCCUGAUCUUUCCUCACUGCCAUUUUUAUCUCUACAUUUGCUUUGAAUAUGAGGAACUUUGAAUUGUUCUAGCCUUGCAUUUGUUAUAUCUCCUGUUUAGACGUAACGAUUCGAAUCUGUGCAACUUUUGAGAUUCUGACCUUUUGAUACCGAGCUGCCUAUUAGUCUUUGUUGGAAACUCUGAUUUGUUCAAAAGUGAUUUCAUUGGAAACUAAACUUGUAGACCUUUCUUUGAUAUAUGGAUUGAAAGAUUUGGAAUCCAAACACCUGGCCAGUUAUCUGUUGAAUCUGACAUUAUGAAUUCUGCCAACAGAGAUUUUGUUCUACGACUCUUGCUUACCAAAUCAUUUGUAANNNNN